rnacentral:rRNA from 1 species
AUGUCUUUACAAGGCAAUGUUCGUCGUUUGUCCCUUCAAGAUAUAAAUAAAGAUCAUCAAGGCACACCUCUCAGCAAUUUCACGGAUAUAUCACGAGUGAGGUCCAUUACUAUCUUUACAUCUGCUAUUUAUAUCAUGCCAGCCCUGUCAAUGUUUGAAGUUCUGCGUGUACUUGAUUUGUCAGACUGUAAUCUGGGAAAAAGUAGUAGCCUGCAACUUAAUCUCAAGGGUGUUGGACACUUAAUUCACCUGAGGUACCUGGGUCUAGCACAUACUGGAAUCAAGGAACUCUCGGCUGAGAUAAGAAACCUGCAGUUUUUGGAGGUGUUGGAUCUUCGAAGCAAUUAUGAGCUAGUUGAAUUGCCUUCCACUCUUUUUAAAUUGAGAAGAUUAAUCUACCUAAAUGUUUAUCUCAGUAAGGUGGUUCCAACUCCUGGUGUGUUGCAGAAUCUGACAUCCAUUGAAGUGUUGAGGGGGGUCUUGGUCUCUCUGAACUUUAUUGCACAGGAGCUUGGCAACCUCGCAAGUCUGAGAGAGCUCUGGAUUCACUUGAAGGAUGGUAGUUUGGAUUUGUAUGAAGGUUUCGUGAAGUCACUUAGCAACCUACGUCGUCAUAUCGAAAGCCUGAGUAUUGGUUGCAAUCCCAGAGAAACAUCUUUUGAACUGAUGGAUCUCUUGGGAGAACGUUGGGUGCCUCCUAUACAUCUCCGCGAAUUUGCUUCUUUCAUGCCCAGCCAACUCUCUGCACUGCGUGGGUGGAUAAAGAGAGACCCCUUGCAUCUCUCGAACCUCUCC